AUUGAACGCUGGCGGCAUGCCUUACACAUGCAAGUCGAACGGCAGCGCGGGAGCAAUCCUGGCGGCGAGUGGCGAACGGGUGAGUAAUAUAUCGGAACGUGCCCAGUAGUGGGGGAUAGCCCGGCGAAAGCCGGAUUAAUACCGCAUACGACCUACGGGUGAAAGGGGGGGAUCGCAAGACCUCUCGCUAUUGGAGCGGCCGAUAUCAGAUUAGGUAGUUGGUGGGGUAAAGGCCUACCAAGCCUGCGAUCUGUAGUUGGUCUGAGAGGACGCCCAGCCACACUGGGACUGAGACACGGCCCAGACUCCUACGGGAGGCAGCAGUGGGGAAUUUUGGACAAUGGGCGCAAGCCUGAUCCAGCAAUGCCGCGUGCAGGAAGAAGGCCUUCGGGUUGUAAACUGCUUUUGUCAGGGAAGAAAUCCUCUAGGCUAAUACCUUGGGGGGAUGACGGUACCUGAAGAAUAAGCACCGGCUAACUACGUGCCAGCCGCCGCAGUAACAC
rnacentral:rRNA from 1 species